AUUGAACGCUGGCGGCAGGCCUAACACAUGCAAGUCGAACGAGUGGCGGACGGGUGAGUAAUGUCUGGGAAACUGCCUGAUGGCGGGGGAUAAAUACUGGAAACGGUAGCUAAUACCGCAUACCAUCGGAUUUGCCCAGAUGGGAUUAGCUAUUAGGUGGGGUAAAGGCUCACCUAGGCGACGAUCCCUAGCUGGUCUGAGAGGCUGACAAGCCACACGGGAACUGAGACACGGUCCAGACUCCUACGGGAGGCAGCAGUGGGGAAUAUUGCACAAUGGGCGCAAGCCUGAUGCAGCAAUGCCGGGUGUAUGAAGAAGGUCUUCGGGUUGUAAAGUACUUUCAUCGGGGAGGCGUUACCCGCAGAAGAAGCAACGGCUAACUACGUGCCAGCAGCCGCGGUAAUUC
rnacentral:rRNA from 1 species